UCAUGUUGCUCUAAUGCUACUCCAAAAUAAGUUAUCCAACUUGAUUAUUCCAGGGUUCAAAGGAAGGAGCACGGAGGAGCGCCCUUCGCUCUCUUCGAUUCUUCUCCCUGACGAAUUGAUUGAAGCGAUUCUGCUGCGACUACCGGUGAGUUGUCUUCUCCGUUUCAAAUCCGUCUCAAAAUCAUGGUUGUCUCUAAUUUCCAAUCCCCAAUUUGCCAAAUCCCACUUUGACCUAGCUGCUGCACCCACGCACCGUCUCCUCCUGAAUUGCACUCGUGAACUCCGAUUCCAGUCCUUAGACGUUGAUUCAUCGCCACCCAACAAUGAAACUGCAGUGCUCAAAUACCUCCGUGAAGAGUUUGAUGGUUAUGGUAGAGAUAUAGAUUUACAUUACAACCCCAAACUUGUAGUCCUGGGUUCUUGCAGAGGGUUUCUAUUUUUACUUUCAAACAAUUUUCCAGCUCAUGAUUUCGUUGUGUGUAAUCCGUUAACGGGUGAGCAUAGACGAAUUCCAUCAUCUACUAGUUUUAGUUACUCUUAUUCUUCACUGUAUGGUAUUGGGUAUGAUCAAUCAACUGAUGACUACUUGCUAGUUUCUAUAAGAUCGAAUGUUCGUGAUCCUAGAAUUGAGGUUUUUUCGUUGAAAACCAAUUUACCCAGCUCGCUCACACUGGAUAAUGAAUAUCAGUCUCUCGGUUCUGAUUUUCAACACGGUUUGUUCUUAAAUGGGUCUCUCAUUGGUUGGUUACCGUUACGUCUAGUGAUACCAAUCCUCAUGUACUUCUUGCUUUUGAUUUGGUUAACAAGAGUUCAUCGGAGAUUGCUCUGUCACCUGAUUUAGCUCGGCAGUUGAAGAAUGAACCAUGUGAUUUAAGAGAGAUGGCAGGAUGUCUUGCUCUGUGUCCUGAUCUGUGUUACACUACUUAUAGUGGCAUGAUUGAAAUAUGGAUAAUGAAAGAGUAUAAAGUGCAAUCAUCUUGGACUAAGAUUGUUUUCUCUACUCAUGACGUCCCUCACAUAUACGACUUUUUUCCAAUAUGUUUCACUAAAUGUGGUGACAUUUUUGGAUCAGAUGAGACUGGAAGAUUAUUGAGAUUCAACGAUAAAGGAAAGCUGCUUGCAGUUUGGCCGUGGGAGAGCAGAUAUCGUCUAUUAUAUAGUCGUAUGUAUACAACAAGUUUACUGUCACUCCCUAGUUAAUUUGUGGACCAACAAAAAACAGACAUGAAGUAUCAAUGAUUACUGAAUUCACUGUUGGAUAGGGAAAAUAUUUUGUCUUGCUUGCUCAGAAUAAUGAAAGGCAUUUUCGGUGGAAAAUUAUGAUCCAGAGUGAAAUAACAACUUUCAAACUACUAUCUCAACAUUUGUGGUUUAAUUGCUGAGAAGUUAGAUGCUUGCAGUGGUAAAACAUGAUCUUCACUGAUUCUCCUGAGGCUCUGUUGGUAAUAGCCACCCCAAUGAAAUUUGCUCAUUCAGCAUAUCCAGCAGGCGAUGAUAAUUUGGACCUAUUGUAAUGUUUGACCUAUUGUCUGCUCUUUUUGUCUUAGAUAAUGACAUUUUAGAUGAUAAGUAUUAAAACUUUUCAAUUUUAUGUAAGGUGUUUGAUGCGCAGUUGAAGGAGAAAUCAAUGAUGGUUGUUAGCAUGUA